AAAUUACCCACUCCCGGCACGGGGAGGUAGUGACGAAAAAUAACGAUACGGGACUCAUCCGAGGCCCCGUAAUCGGAAUGAGCACACUUUAAAUCCUUUAGCGAGGAUCAAUUGGAGGGUAAGUCUGGUGCCAGCAACCGCGGUAAUUCCAGCUCCAAUAGCGUAUAUUAAAGUUGUUGCGGUUAAAAAGCUCGUAGUCGACUUUGUGUCCCGCGCCGUUGGUUCAUCGCUCGCGGUGUUCAACUGGCGUCUCGCGGGACGUCCUGUCGGUGGGUGCUCGUGCCGUUUCGGCGGUGCGUCGCCCUGCUCGUUUCCGUCUCGCGCGGUUGCGAGUCUCAUCGCGGUGCUCUUUAUUGAGUGUCGAGGUGGGCCGGCACAUUUACUUUGAACAAAUUAGAGUGCUUAAAGCAGGCCAAUUUUGCCUGAAUAUUCUGUGCAUGGAAUAAUGGAAAAGGACCUCGGUUCUAUUUUGUUGGUUUUUCGGAGCCACGAGGUAAUGAUUAAUAGAGACGGAUGGGGGCAUUCGUAUUGCGACGUUAGAGGUGAAAUUCUUGGAUCGUCGGAAGACGGACUAAAGCGAAAGCAUUUGCCAAAAACGCUUUCAUUGAUCAAGAACGAAAGUUAGAGGCUCGAAGGCGAUCAGAUACCGCCCUAGUUCUAACCAUAAACGAUGCCAGCUAGCGAUCCGCUGACGUUCCUCCGAUGACUCGGCGGGCAGCUUCCGGGAAACCAAAGCGUUUGGGCUCCGGGGGUAGUAUGGUUGCAAAGCUGAAACUUAAAGGAAUUGACGGAAGGGCACCACCAGGACUGGAGCCUGCGGCUUAAUUUGACUCAACACGGGAAACCUAACCGGGCCCUGACACUGUAAGGAUUGACAGAUUGAGAGCUCUUUCUUGAUUCAGUGGGUGGUGGUGCAUGGCCGUUCUUAGUUGGUGGAUUGAUUUGUCAGGUUAAUC
rnacentral:rRNA from 1 species